GUCACGCCCCGGACCCGGAUCCGUGACACGGCCGUGCUAUUGCCGACUACCGCCCACAAUAGCACGCAGCCUCAUACAUGGGUAACAGGGUAGUCAAAAGCAGUCAAACUUGCAUAUAUCAAAAUAUGUGCAUUACAACAGAGGGUAUCUAUAAGGUACAGAGCUUCUACAUAGUUUAUAUACACAAAAGUAUAUUCAUAUCAUCCCAAAAAUAAAGAAGCCCUGUUGCAAAAGAAAAAUGCUUCUAGCAGCUGUCACUGGUGGUGAUCUGAAAAAAAAUGUAAAUGAACAGACAUGAGCUACACGGCUCAGUAAGUAAUCCUGUAUAAUCUUGUUGAAUCAACUAAAAAUGCUAACCAUGCUUAUCAGGGUUUGAGAAGCUGACAUGUAUGCUAUCUAAUAAAUCAUCAUGAUAAAAUAUCCCUGCUGAGUAAAUAAUUCAGUAUCCUACAUUAUCAAGGAAUCUUGUAUAUGCAUAUAUAUAUAUAAAGAAAAAUCGUGCCGCCGGCAUGCCGUGGUCAUACUCUCAUAUGCUACUGCAAAGUCGUUAUCGGCCACUGGC
rnacentral:lncRNA from 1 species